GAUGAACGCUGGCGGCGUGCCUAAUACAUGCAAGUCGAGCGAACAGACGAGGAGCUUGCUCCUCUGACGUUAGCGGCGGACGGGUGAGUAACACGUGGAUAACCUACCUAUAAGACUGGGAUAACUUCGGGAAACCGGAGCUAAUACCGGAUAAUAUAUUGAACCGCAUGGUUCAAUAGUGAAAGACGGUUUUGCUGUCACUUAUAGAUGGAUCCGCGCCGCAUUAGCUAGUUGGUAAGGUAACGGAUUACCAAGGCAACGAUGCGUAGCCGACCUGAGAGGGUGAUCGGCCACACUGGAACUUAGAAACGGUCCAGACUCCUACGGGAGGCAGCAGUAGGGAAUCUUCCGCAAUGGGCGAAAGCCUGACGGAGCAACGCCGCGUGAGUGAUGAAGGUCUUCGGAUCGUAAAACUCUGUUAUUAGGGAAGAACAAAUGUGUAAGUAACUAUGCACGUCUUGACGGUACCUAAUCAGAAAGCCACGGCUAACUACGUG
rnacentral:rRNA from 1 species